rnacentral:rRNA from 1 species
UACGUAGGGGGCGAGCGUUGUCCGGAAUUAUUGGGCGUAAAGAGCGUGUAGGCGGUUCGGUAAGUCUGCCGUGAAAACCUGGGGCUCAACCCCGGGCGUGCGGUGGAUACUGCCGGGCUAGAGUCCGGAAGAGGCGAGUGGAAUUCCUGGUGUAGCGGUGGAAUGCGCAGAUAUCAGGAGGAACACCAAUAGCGAAGGCAGCUCGCUGGGACGGUACUGACGCUGAGGCGCGAAAAGCGUGGGGAGCGAACAGG